rnacentral:rRNA from 1 species
AUGAAGCAAGAAUUAAGAAGGAAAUCCCUUCCCUCUUGCACGGCCGUGGGCAAAAAGGCCCCCGGCCGACCCUCUCGCGCCCUCCUUCUAGCAGCGCCACAUAACAAUUUGGUAUCAGCUAACUUCGGUUCGAUCAUGUCUUCACCGCCGCCAAGCCCGUCUCUUCCGCUGCCGGUCACUUCGUCGCCUCCGGCGACCACCAUGACCGUCGCCUCGCUCCUGCCCGCGCCGGGAUCCUCCGUCGGGCCCGCCCCCGCCGUCCUCACCCCGGAGGAGGUGUUCGGGGUGCUGCGGGACCUAACCCAGGCGGUCCAGGAGAUCCACAUGUUCUUGGCCGGGUCCUACGGGCCGCCCCCGGCUGCGCCGCCCAUCGCCGCCUCCGCGCCGCCGUGGCUGCCGUGGCAGCCGCCGCACCAGGCGGCCUUUGCCGCGCUUGCCGGGCCGCUGCAGCUGUCAUCCAUCGCCACCACCGCCCAACCCUGGCUGCAGUGGCAACCGCCGCUCCUAGCGGCCUCCGCCGUGCCCGGCGCUUUGAAGCAGCAGCCGCUGCCGCUGCCCGGCGCGACACCACAGCAGCCGCUGCAGCUGCAGCAGCCACCGCCGGUCAGCUCCACCGCCCAGUAUGGGAUGCCCUACGACGGGACUGCGACGACCUUGUUCCCAUCAGCGCCGCCACCAUCCCAGGGCGUCCACAUCCAGCAGCUCAAGUCCCCGCCGACGCCGUCACCGCUUCCGUCUUGGAUCGCUACCCGCCACGUGUCGGCGGCGGUGAGGCUGCAGGCUGCUGUGCGCGGCCUCCUAGCGCGUCGGCGUGUGCGGGAGAUGCGUGGUCUGCAGCUGACGCUCCUCCAAGUUGCCCUUCGCUGCGCAAAGGACCUCGAUCUCGUCCGCUGCGUCGGGGAUCUUGGGCAUGCGGUUUCCCCCACGGGCGGCGGGCAUGCUGUUUUCCCCGUGGGCAGCGACCUCAAAGUCUACGACAUCGGCGGUUGGGGGGGCGCACCCCUCCUCGACAUUCUCCAUCGCAAGCCCUCCACUCUUCCCUGUGCAGUGCAGACCAACAGCCAUACACAUGCACUCCUUUUGUCCAGGUGGUGUCCAUGGGAUCCAGGUGGCUGUAUACGUGCACGUCCAAAAUAA